GGACCCAUGGCGCAACGGUAGCGCGUUCGACUCCAGCGAGGCAUCGAAAGGUUAUCCGUUCAAAUCGGGUUGGGUUCA